CCAAGGGUGGGUGGAAACCGAAACGAGUCAGUGUUGAAACGUGUCUCAUCCUAUUCCUGAAGCCAGAAUAUUCUGGCCAUGAGUCAUUGUUUCCGCCCAUCUUGAUUCUUUUGGAAAUGGCAGCUCUUGUUCAAAGACCGGAAAGAGUGGGAUGUCAAUUUCAAGUGGGGUCGACCUGAGUUCUAUAAAUCCCAGUAGCGACUUUCCCGCCGCGGGUGGGCAGGCGAAUCUUGCGCCGGUUUAGACAAAGGAGGCCGUGAGGACCUGCAUGCUUUUCUUCCCCAGGCAUGCUUCGGAAACUGGACAUCAAAAACGAAGACGAUGUGAAAUCGUUGUCUCGAGUGAUGGUCCAUGUUUUCAGCGACGGCGUAACAAACUGGGGCAGGAUUGUGACUCUCAUUUCUUUUGGUGCCUUUGUGGCUAAACACUUGAAGACCAUAAACCAAGAAAGCUGCAUCGAACCAUUAGCAGAAAGUAUCACAGACGUUCUCGUAAGGACAAAACGGGACUGGCUAGUUAAACAAAGAGGCUGGGAUGGGUUUGUGGAGUUCUUCCAUGUAGAGGACCUAGAAGGAGGCAUCAGAAAUGUGCUGCUGGCUUUUGCAGGUGUUGCUGGAGUAGGAGCUGGUUUGGCAUAUCUAAUAAGAUAGCCUUACUGUAAGUGCAAUAGUUGACUUUUAACCAACCACCACCACCACCAAAACCAGUUUAUGCAGUUGGACCCCAAGCUGUAACUUCCUAGAGUUGCACCCUAGCAACCUAGCCAGAAAAGCAAGUGGCAAGAGGAUUAUGGCCAACAAGAAUAAAUACAUGGGAAAGUGCUCCCCAUUGAUUGAAGAGUCACUGUCUGAAAGAAGCAAAGUUCAGUUUCAGCAACAAACAAACUUCAUUUGGGAAGCUAUGGAGGAGGACUUUUAGAUUUAGUGAAGAUGGUAGGGUGGAAAGACUUAAUUUCCUUGUUGAGAACAGGAAAGUGGCCAGUAGCCAGGCAAGUCAUAGAAUUGAUUACCCGCCGAAUUCAUUAAUUUACUGUAGUGUUAAGAGAAGCACUAACAAUGCCAGUGACCUGUGUAAAAGCUACAAGUAAUAGAACUAUG
rnacentral:sRNA from 1 species